GACGAAGGAUGCAAGCGUUAUCCGGAUUCAUUGGGUUUAAAGGGAGCGUAGGCGGAUUGGUAAGUCAGUGGUGAAAUCUGUGGGCUUAACCCACAAACUGCCAUUGAUACUGCUGAUCUAGAGUACAGUUGCCGUUGGCGGAAUACGACAUGUAGUGGUGAAAUACUUAGAUAUGUCAUAGAACACCGAUUGCGAAGGCAGCUAACGAAGCUGUAACUGACGCUGAGGCUCGAAAGUGCGGGGAUCAAACAGG
rnacentral:rRNA from 1 species